GAGUCUAGUUACUAGGCAGUGUAGUUAGCUGAUUGCUGAUAGUACCAAUCACUAACCACACGGCCAGGUAAAAAGAUUUG
rnacentral:pre_miRNA from 1 species